AGCCCAAACGAUGAUUGGCUGGAGCGAGGCUUGGUCCGCGCCGAUAGGUCCAGGUUGCAGAGAGGCGGGCGCUGAUUGAUGAGGCAGGUGCGACUAGAGUCUUCCAGACUGAACUUUUGUCAAGACUCCAUUUCACAAAUAUUUUGUAGAA